CAUUGAAGCGACUCCGGCAAAUCAGCUGUUUUCCCGUAGUAGACCGAUAAAGUAGAACGUUACAAAGUAGCAGUAAAAUUCGCUCAUGUACACUAUAACGCCAGAAUGGCGUUGCCGUUCCACCAGAGGCUGUUGCUAAGUUCUGUCUGAAUCGGCGCCAAGUGACGGAUGGUGUAGAAAUUUUGUUGUCUGGGUGGAAAUCGCGAGAAAUUCGGGAGAAAGGACGGCCUGGGAGAUUUUCGGGAGGGGCUUUGAAAUUCGGGAGUCUCCUGGAAAAAUCGGGAGGGUUGGCAUGGUUUAAUUAAAGGUACAAUUUGUAAGAUAUUUGCAUUAAAAUAUCCAAAAACCACUAGGCUAGUGUUAUAUAUUUUGUCCAGCUGUUUACUAACAAUAUCUCUAAUGUUUUCAACUACUUGUAAACCAUGAGAAAAUUCCCAUUCUAAUCAGUGACACGGGGGGUGUAGUCGCCUGUCAAUGACGUUAGUUGACCUUUGUUACCGCCUUUACUGACGUAGAAACCACAUGACAACAGUGUCGUGGACAAAGCGGAAGUAGUGUCUAGCGUGACGUCCAGCAAACCACUUGCUUGCUUCAGGCAGUUCCUUAUUUAAUUCUUGCACGUUUUAUGGUGGAUUAUGUUACUUAUUUACGGAACAUAAAUUUCUGGUUACUGUCUGCCGCUGGUUCUGUCGACAAGGACAGCUCCCAUAAACUUGUGUUUUACUUAACAGACUCAAACGAAGCUUGAUGACGUCAGCAACCUGUCUGACAGAUGUAAUUCUUCUAGUAGCUGUGCAUGCAAACUGCCAUCGUUAAUCUUCCAGAGACGGCGAGCUUGAGCGGGGAGUUCUUUGGCGUGAGUGAGCAGGAGAUAUUCUGGCAUGAGGACCACACACCUUCCUCUUCAAGAGUGACCAGUGCCAUGCCUGAACCGAAGCGGUUCCACGCAGUGCAGUUGUAUCGAAGCUGGAAAUCUUGGGCCAGAGUCUCUGAGAGGAUUAGCG